GAAGGGUGCAAGCGUUACUCGGAAUUACUGGGCGUAAAGCGUGCGUAGGUGGUGCGUUAAGUCUGUCGUGAAAGCCCCGGGCUCAACCUGGGAAUGGCGAUGGAUACUGGCGCGCUAGAGUGCGGUAGAGGAGAGUGGAAUUCCCGGUGUAGCAGUGAAAUGCGUAGAGAUCGGGAGGAACAUCAGUUGCGAAGGCGGCUCUCUGGACCAGCACUGACACUGAGGCACGAAAGCGUGGGGAGCAAACAGGAUUAGAUACCCUGGUAGUCCACGCCCUAAACGAUGCGAACUGGACGUUGGGAGCAAUCAGGCUCUCAGUGUCGAAGCUAACGCGUUAAGUUCGCCGCCUGGGGAGUACGGUCGCAAGACKG
rnacentral:rRNA from 1 species